UUCAGCGGCGGACGGGUGAGUAAUGCCUAGGAAUCUGCCCGAUAGUGGGGGACAACGUUUCGAAAGGAACGCUAAUACCGCAUACGUCCUACGGGAGAAAGCAGGGGACCUUCGGGCCUUGCGCUAUCGGAUGAGCCUAGGUCGGAUUAGCUAGUUGGUGGGGUAAAGGCUCACCAAGGCGACGAUCCGUAACUGGUCUGAGAGGAUGAUCAGUCACACUGGAACUGAGACACGGUCCAGACUCCUACGGGAGGCAGCAGUGGGGAAUAUUGGACAAUGGGCGAAAGCCUGAUCCAGCCAUGCCGCGUGUGUGAAGAAGGUCUUCGGAUUGUAAAGCACUUUAAGCUGGGAGGAAGGGCAGUAAGUUAAUACCUUGCUGUUUUGACGUUACCAGCAGAAUAAGCACCGGCUAACUUCGUGCCAGCAGCCGCGGUAAUACGAAGGGUGCAAGCGUUAAUCGGAAUUACUGGGCGUAAAGCGCGCGUAGGUGGUUCAGCAAGUUGGAUGUGAAAGCCCCGGGCUCAGCCUGGGAACUGCAUCCAAAACUACUGGGCUAGAGUAUGGUAGAGGGUGGUGGAAUUUCCUGUGUAGCGGUGAAAUGCGUAGAUAUAGGAAGGAACACCAGUGGCGAAGGCGACCACCUGGACUAAUACUGACACUGAGGUGCGAAAGCGUGGGGAGCAAACAGGAUUAGAUACCCUGGUAGUCCACGCCGUAAACGAUGUCAACUAGUUGUUGGGUUCCUUGAGGACUUAGUAACGAAGCUAACGCGAUAAGUUGACCGCCUGGGGAGUACGGCCGCAAGGUUAAAACUCAAAUGAAUUGACGGGGGCCCGCACAAGCGGUGGAGCAUGUGGUUUAAUUCGA
rnacentral:rRNA from 1 species